rnacentral:rRNA from 1 species
AGGACGAACGCUGGCGGCGCGCUUAACACAUGCAAGUCGAGCGAGAACCAGGGCUUCGGCCCUGGGGACAGCGGCGAACGGGUGAGUAACACGUGGAUAACCUGCCCUCGGCACCGGGAUAGCCCGGGGAAACCCGGAUUAAUACCGGAUAGCCAUUCCGACUCUCGGGUCGGUCCGAAAAGGUAGCUUCGGCCUCUGGCCGAGGAUGGGUCCGCGGCGGAUUAGCUUGUUGGUGGGGUAAUGGCCUACCAAGGCAUCGAUCCGUAGCUGGUCUGAGAGGACGAUCAGCCACACUGGGACUGAGACACGGCCCAGACUCCUACGGGAGGCAGCAGUGGGGAAUCUUGCGCAAUGGGCGAAAGCCUGACGCAGCGACGCCGCGUGAGGGAGGAAGGCCUUCGGGUUGUAAACCUCUUUCAGGAGGGACGAAGCUACUCGGGUGAAUAGCCCAGAGGGUGACGGUACCUCCAGAGAAGCCCGGCUAACGUACGUGCCAGCAGCCGC